GUGGGGAAUAUUGGACAAUGGGCGAAAGCCUGAUCCAGCCAUGCCGCGUGUGUGAAGAAGGUCUUCGGAUUGUAAAGCACUUUAAGUUGGGAGGAAGGGUAGUAACCUAAUACGUUGCUACUUUGACGUUACCGACAGAAUAAGCACCGGCUAACUUCGUGCCAGCAGCCGCGGUAAUACGAAGGGUGCAAGCGUUAAUCGGAAUUACUGGGCGUAAAGCGCGCGUAGGUGGUUCAGUAAGUUGGAAGUGAAAUCCCCGGGCUCAACCUGGGAACUGCUUUCAAAACUGCUGAGCUAGAGUACGGUAGAGGGUGGUGGAAUUUCCUGUGUAGCGGUGAAAUGCGUAGAUAUAGGAAGGAACACCAGUGGCGAAGGCGUCCACCUGGACUGAUACUGACACUGAGGUGCGAAAGCGUGGGGAGCAAACAGGAUUAGAAACCCUUGUAGUCC
rnacentral:rRNA from 1 species